rnacentral:piRNA from 1 species
UCAUCACGAGAAAGGCAGAGCACAUG